rnacentral:rRNA from 1 species
UACGAAGGGGGCUAGCGUUGCUCGGAAUUACUGGGCGUAAAGCGAGUGUAGGCGGUCUGAUAAGUCGGGUGUGAAAGCCCCGGGCUCAACCCGGGAAGUGCACUCGAAACUGACAGGCUAGAGUAUCGGAGAGGUUGGUGGAAUUCUCGGUGUAGAGGUGAAAUUCGUAGAUAUCGAGAGGAACACCGGUGGCGAAGGCGGCCAACUGGACGAAUACUGACGCUGAGACUCGAAAGCGUGGGGAGCAAACCGG